rnacentral:misc_RNA from 1 species
GUCCUGGUAUUCCCCAAAGAAUCCUAAAAGUUGGUUUCAACUUCAUUUCAUCGAACUCCAUACAUGCAUUUUCAAAUGCAUGAUUGCUGUAUUUAAGGGUUUUAAGUUCUCCAUGAUGUGUUGUAGCUAUAGUCAACAAAGUCCCAGAUUCUGCAAAAGAUUCCAGUAAUGACAUCCCAAGUGCAGCUCCUUCUAGAGGAUUUGUCCCUGCCCCUACUUCAUCUAAUAGCACGAGUGACAUGUCUGUUGAGUGAGACCGGAUUUUACUAAUUUGUUUCAGAUGGCCCGAGAAGGUAGACAGUGAUUGGGAUAAGGACUGUUCAUCACCAAUAUCAGCAAAUACAAAAUCAAACCAAGGG